rnacentral:tRNA from 1 species
GGAGAUAUAGCUCAGUGGUUAAGAGCACUGAUUUUUCUUCGAGAGGACCCAGGUUCAAUUCCUGGCACCCACA